UACGUAGGGGCCUAGCGUUGUCCGGAAUUAUUGGGCGUAAAGAGCGUGUAGGCGGCCAGACAGGUCCGUUGUGAAAACUCGAGGCUCAACCUCGAGACGCCGAUGGAAACCGUCUGGCUAGAGUCCGGAAGAGGAGAGUGGAAUUCCUGGUGUAGCGGUGAAAUGCGCAGAUAUCAGGAAGAACACCCGUGGCUAAGGCGGCUCUCUAGUACGGUACUGACGCUGAGACGCGAAAGCGUGGGGAGCGAACAGG
rnacentral:rRNA from 1 species